GAUCCUGGCUCAGGAUGAACGCUAGCUACAGGCUUAACACAUGCAAGUCGAGGGGUAGCAGGGUAGCAAUACCGCUGACGACCGGCGCACGGGUGAGUAACACGUGUCCAACCUUCCCAUAACUCAGGGAUAGCCUUUCGAAAGAAAGAUUAAUACCUGAUAGUACUUUUUCAAGGCAUCUUGAGAAAGUUAAAGAUUUAUUGGUUAUGGAUGGGGAUGCGUUCCAUUAGAUAGUUGGUGAGGUAACGGCUCACCAAGUCUUCGAUGGAUAGGGGUUCUGAGAGGAAGGUCCCCCACAUUGGUACUGAGACACGGACCAAACUCCUACGGGAGGCAGCAGUGAGGAAUAUUGGUCAAUGGGCGAGAGCCUGAACCAGCCAAGUAGCGUGAAGGAUGAAGGUCCUAUGGAUUGUAAACUUCUUUUAUAGUAGAAUAAAGUGAUCCACGUGUGGAUUUUUGUAUGUAUACUAUGAAUAAGGAUCGGCUAACUCCGUGCCAGCCGCAGC
rnacentral:rRNA from 1 species